rnacentral:misc_RNA from 1 species
AACAAGGCGUACCUGCGGACCUGCGGAAGGAUCAUUACAAGUGACCCCGGUCUAACCACCGGGAUGUUCAUAACCCUUUGUUGUCCGACUCUGUUGCCUCCGGGGCGACCCUGCCUUCGGGCGGGGGCUCCGGGUGGACACUUCAAACUCUUGCGUAACUUUGCAGUCUGAGUAAACUCAAUUAAUAAAUUAAAACUUUUAACAACGGAUCU